GAUGAACGCUGGCGGCGUGCCUAAUACAUGCAAGUCGAGCGAACGGACGAGAAGCUUGCUUUUCUGAUGUUAGCGGCGGACGGGUGAGUAACACGUGGAUAACCUACCUAUAAGACUGGGAUAACUUCGGGAAACCGGAUCUAAUACCGGAUAAUAUUUUGAACGGCAUGGUUCAAAAGUGAAAGACGGUCUUGCUGUCACUAAUAGAUGGAUCCGCGCUGCAUUAGCUAGUUGGUAAGGUAACGGCUUACCAAGGCAACGAUGCAUAGCUGACCUGAGAGGGUGAUCGGCCACACUGGAACUGAGACACGGUCCAGACUCCUACGGGAGGCAGCAGUGGGGAAUAUUGCACAAUGGGCGAAAGCCUGAUGGAGCCAUGCCGCGUGAGUGAAGAAGGUCUUCGGAUCGUAAAACUCUGUUAUUAGGGAGGAACAUAUGUGUAUUAAUAUGUGCACGUUUUGACGGUACCAAAAGAGAAAGCAACGGCUAACUACGUG
rnacentral:rRNA from 1 species